GAUGAACGCUGGCGGCGUGCCUAAUACAUGCAAGUCGAGCGAACAGAUAAGGAGCUUGCUCCUUUGACGUUAGCGGCGGACGGGUGAGUAACACGUGGGUAACCUACCUAUAAGACUGGGAUAACUUCGGGAAACCGGAGCUAAUACCGGAUAACAUUUGGAACCGCAUGGUUCUAAAGUGAAAGAUGGUUUUGCUAUCACUUAUAGAUGGACCCGCGCCGUAUUAGCUAGUUGGUAAGGUAACGGCUUACCAAGGCAACGAUACGUAGCCGACCUGAGAGCGUGGUCGGCCACACUGGAACUGAGACACGGUCCAGACUCCUACGGGAGGCAGCAGUAGGGAAUCUUACGCAAUGGGGGAAAGCCUGACGGAGCAACGCGGCGUGAGUGAUGAAGGGUUUCGGCUCGGAAAACUCUGUUAUUAGGGAAGAACAAACGUGUAAGUAACUGUGCACGUCUUGACGGUACCUAAUCAGAAAGCCACGGCUAACUACGUG
rnacentral:rRNA from 1 species